GACGAACGCUGGCGGCGUGCUUAACACAUGCAAGUCGAACGGAAAGGCCCUGCUUUUGUGGGGUGCUCGAGUGGCGAACGGGUGAGUAACACGUGAGUAACCUGCCCUUGACUUUGGGAUAACUUCAGGAAACUGGGGCUAAUACCGGAUAGGAGCUCCUGCUGCAUGGGGGGGGUUGGAAAGUUUCGGCGGUUGGGGAUGGACUCGCGGCUUAUCAGCUUGUUGGGGGGGUAGUGGCUUACAAAGGCUUUGACGGGUAGCCGGCCUGAGAGGGGGACCGGCGACAUUGGGACUGAGAUACGGCCCAGACUCCUACGGGAGGCAGCAGGGGGGAAUAUUGCACAAUGGGCGGAAGUCUGAUGCAGCAGCGCCGCGUUCGGGAUGACGGCCUUCGAGUUGUAAACCGCUUUCGCAUGUGACGAAGCGGGAGUGACGGUAAUGGGUAAGGAAGCACCGGCUAACUACGUG
rnacentral:rRNA from 1 species